AUGUCGUUUCGGGAUGCUCAUGAGUUAUGGACAAAGCUUCAAGAUAAAUAUGGUGUGUCCAAGGUUUGUGGGGAUGAUUGUUCUCCCUCCUCCUCCGGCCGUGUUGCCUUCUCAACUUCUUCUACUUCACCUACAUGUGGAUUGCCACAAGGUAAUGCUAUGGUGAGUAGUGGUGGUCAUUGCAAUGAUGAUAGUGUGUUUGUUCUUAGUGAUUCUUCAUCACUGUCUUAUUGCAAUGGUCCUUCUUUGGACUUUAACACUUCGAGCACCUUACAUGUUUCACAUGCUCGUGUUGGUAGUCCUUGCAUAUCAUGUAGAAAUUGCUUGCUCAAAUCUCAUGAUGAUAUGCUUGCUAUGUCUUGUUGCUAUGAUAAAAAUGUAUCUAUUUCCUCGAGUUGUUGUGCUAACAAUGUAGAGGAAACUCAACACUCCAUGGAACAAGAUGUGGUCUUGAAUGGUGCUUCAAGGGAUCCUACAUCAUCAUCUAUUGCGUUUUUCCUUAUGGCCAAGGCCUCAAAGGUAUCUCCCACUUUGAAUCCCAAUAUAUCUUGUGAUGAUAUUGAUGAUGGCAAGAAUGAUGAUGAUGUUGAUUAUGAUGAAGGAAAUGAUAAUGUUGCCUCAUUAAAAAUUAAGGGGGAAAUGGUUUUUAAAGCUCUUCAUCAAAAUAAAAUUGCUCAUUCCAACUUCAUGGAAAUUAUGUCCAUUACCAUUGAGGGCAAGAAAUAUAUUGAGGAGUUGGAAUCUCAUCUCGAGGAGCAUGAGGUCACCAUUGAGAAAAUGGAAGGUCAUGAGCGUGAUUACGCUAAUGAGAUUGUGGACCUCUCUCAAGCUCUUGAACUUGAACAAACCACCAAGGAAUCUCUUGAGGAGACUUUUGCUCUAGAAUUAUCUAGAGUACGGGAAUCUCGUGAUAGAGCUCUUGAGGUGGCCAAUGAUUUUGAAACUUAA
rnacentral:rRNA from 1 species